UCUGUGAUAGGGAUUCACAUUUUCGUAAGCAUUGUCAAAAAAUGCGUGUGAAAACUUUAGAUUCUGCUGAGGUUUUGUCCUUUUUCUGUCCCUAUCCUCGUUUUUCCAGUUUCUAUGUAUGGCGUGAUAAGGAGCCUGUGUCUAUAAAAGUCAAAUUUUGCAGUAGAUAAGAUGAGUAGUCUGAAAGACUUGUGGAAGUGCUGAUUCCAACGAAGACAGAGCUUAAGUGUGUACCAAGAGAUGGUCAGAGGACUCAAGGCAGGAGGAGGAGGAGGAGGAGGAGGAGGAAUCUGGGAUGGACAAAACUUUGGGGGCUUAGGAAGUGUAGUUUGGGUUUUGUGGGUGGCGUUCCUCAGUUCGUCUUUCAUCUUAGCCGUUAUCCUCUCCUGUGGAGGUGGUGCAACCAGAGACAAGGCUUCUUCUGCUACCCAAACUGAUGCCCGCGGGGCUGCAUGUGGUGCAGGUUGCAGCGCUGCAUGUGGUGGUUGAUCACCGUGCUGCUCUCUGACUUCUUAUCACCUACCUGAUCUGCUGAUUCUUUUCAGUUGUGAAUCGGAGAAAAACCAAACUAGAGAUGACAAAAAACAAAGGUUCAGGAGUUGUAAUAACAGCCUACUAUCAAUAGAUGUCAAAAGAUAGACAACAAUUCACCCGGAGGUGCAGCCACAGUUAAGUGGCAAGUUUGGUAGGAGGCAAGGAUUUUUCAACAGCCUCUUGGCUGUUGGCCUCUAUUUUAGUAUUUGAAAGCUCUAUUUUAAUGGCGUUCUGAUUGUACAUCAGCGAAUUGGGUCCUACUAAACAGGCAUAAGGCAUAUCAUAGGCAGUUCCCAUGUUUGAACUUUGACCUGGAAUAAGAACUCAACAGGCCAAGAGACAUUUCCCAAACACCACCAUGGAUCUUGCAUACAAGUACAGAACGUAAGACUUGAGUUUACAAGGAUUCUUCUCAGCUGUAAAUUUCUUUAGGUGUUAAUUCUAUUACUUUCCUACUCUUUCUUCA